UUGCUCGGAACUUUCCACGCGUUGGCACAAACCCUAGCUCAUAGACUCCUCUCUCCACUCUUUUAUCUCCGCCGUUUCUCAAAUCUUCAAUACCUCUUCUCUUCUUUGUCUCUUGCGCUCUCCAUCUCCAAUUGCAAUGGCACACCCCUUUGAAGCUCACCACAUCCUCAACCUCCGCGCUCCCUGUGAUUCCAUCCGUCCGCCCAACGUAUCCGGCAAAAGGCCAGCAAGUUCAUUUAGCCAGAAUGGGAAUUCCAACUCCAGAAAUGGCGAAGCUCCCAUCCCAGUGUGCUCCAAUUCCUCCCUCGCCGCCGGUGGUUCCGGAGUACCAACCUGUGUGGGGAAAGAUAACAAAAAGGUGUCUUGGGGACGAAGCUCGGACGUGGGAAAACGGUCGGGAAUGGAGGAUAGUUUAGCCAUUGUCCCUGGGUUUAUGUCACUGUCUUGCAAGCAGGUCGGUGGAUGCACCGCGCCGGAGUGCACUUACGCCGCUGAGGACUCGCCAGUGCACUUCUUUGGCCUCUACGAUGGCCAUGGAGGCCCUCAGGUGAGUUGCUAUUGUGCAAGGAUGCUUCAUGAAAUGGUCGCAGAAGAGUGGGAAAGAGGAGGUGGUGAUGAAUGGAGUAAACGGUGGGAGGUUGCAUUACGUAGGGCCUAUGGGAGGGCAGAUGAUGCUUUAAAAGACAAGGCAUUAGCACCAUACUCAGUGGGAUCAACCAGUUUGGUGGUGGUUGUGUCACCCUGUCAGAUCAUUGCUGCCAACUGUGGAGAUUCUAGGGCUGUGCUUUGCCGUGGGACUCAAGCAAUUCCCUUAACUGUUGACCACAAGCUUGAUCGACAAGAUGAACUGGCCCGAAUUGAGGAAGCAGGCGGCCAAAUUCUAUAUUGGCAGGGUCCAAGGGUAGAAGGAGUUCUUUCUAUGACAAGAGCAAUAGGUGACCACUAUCUGAAACCAUGGAUUAUUUCAGAGCCUGAAGUUGCUUUCACAACAAGGAGUGAUGAGGAUGAAUGUCUGAUUUUGGCAAGUGAUGGCUUAUGGGAUGUCCUGUCCAAUGAACAGGUGGUAAAGGUUGCUCGCAAUUCACUGAGGGAGGAGCGCAGGAAGGCUCUGCUUAAUGAUAGUUCACUACCCCCAGCCCACUCUGCUGCAGAUAGUCUCCUUUGCUGUGCACUUGCUGAGUACAGUGAUGACAACAUUUCAAUUAUUGUUGUCGACCUGAAAUCACGAAAGAGAAGGCACCAAUAUAGGCACUGAAAGUGGGCUGGUUUUUCUGGGUGGAGAGGGGGUUAGAGCUUCUAGGGGAGAGCGGCUAAUCCUGACUGAGUAUCUAGAUCUCUACAAGUAUCAGGAGCAUUUAUCCAUUGAAGGUUCAACCUGCUCUGAUAGCAAUUUUUAUGAAGGUCUAGAUUGGCAGGCUUCUAAAUGAACCAUAAAGGACAAGGAAUGACUCUCUAUUGCCAGUUGCUGAAGUAGUCUGUUAAACAUGGCCUAUUUCUGCAUUACCAAAGACUUGUGCAGCUUGAGGAAGAAAAUUGUAUGGCUGAAACUAUUACAUUUGUUAGAACAGUUCUAACUACCGGGCAGAGGACGACGUUUUCUUUCUUGAAAGGACUGCUACGAGGAUCAUGUCUCAUUCAGUUUACUUGGAUAGAAUUUCGGCAGAGGGAGCAAAAGCUGCCUACAGUGCAGAUGCUUCAAUAAUGUCUACCAAGAAAUGGGAUUCUUGUGAAGAUGAGUGGAAUUGAUGCUGCGAGAAGAAUAUCUGUUAAACGGUCAGUAGGAAAGCAACCUUAAAGUUAAACUCCUGUAUGAUUGCAUCAAUGCCCACAAGUUUGGAUAAUUGAUUAUGAGCACAUUCUCGAUGAGGGAAAAUGGAUAUUUUUCAAGAAGGUUCCACGUGGCUAAUUCUUUGAUGCGGCAACACUAACCUCUCCCUAGACCAUUGCAUGAAACCAUGUUCCUUUCUUGUCAUUGAAUCUUCUUGAUUUAUUCUUUCUGCAACCACUAGUUGAUGUAAGUUUGAUUAUUGAAUUCAAAGAAAUCCAGUUUUGCCUUGGUUGUUUUC